rnacentral:rRNA from 1 species
CCUACGGGAGGCAGCAGUGAGGAAUAUUGGUCAAUGGGCGGAAGCCUGAACCAGCCAAGUCGCGUGAGGGAUUAAGGCCCUGCGGGUCGUAAACCUCUUUUGCCGGGGAGCAGAGGUCCGGACGUGUCCGGGCCGGGAGAGUACCCGGAGAAAAAGCAUCGGCUAACUCCGUGCCAGCAGCCGCGGUAAUACGGAGGAUGCGAGCGUUAUCCGGAUUUAUUGGGUUUAAAGGGUGCGCAGGCGGAAGAUCAAGUCAGCGGUAAAAUUGAGAGGCUCAACCUCUUCGAGCCGUUGAAACUGGUUUUCUUGAGUGAGUGAGAAGUAUGCGGAAUGCGUGGUGUAGCGGUGAAAUGCAUAGAUAUCACGCAGAACUCCGAUUGCGAAGGCAGCAUACCGGCGCUCAACUGACGCUCAUGCACGAAAGUGUGGGUAUCGAACAGGAUUAGAUACCCCAGUAGUC